rnacentral:lncRNA from 1 species
GUUCUGUUUGUAUAUCAUAUUUAUUAUCAGUAAAUUAAUUACUUUUAUUUUUGAGAACUUUAAUUGUUUACUUUCAUUUUGACCUUAUGUGAUUGUACUUUCACUUUCACUUUAAAGUUACUUUCACUUUCACUUUUACUUUGUUGAUAUCCUGUUUCCUGUUUUGAAUUGUGAACCACAAUGACAUUGGACCAAUGUUAAUCUUUAUCUAGCGAGAGCUUUACCAUCCGUUUAUGGCAAACCACUAUGUAAGUUAAAUAUUUAUUACUAAGGUUUAUAUUUUGUAUGUGCAUAUUUAUUUUUGAUGCAAAUAAGUUAAUUAUGAAGUUCUAGAGCAAAGUAUUUACAUACAUUUUUCCUAUGAUAUUUUGAGUAAGGAACCCCGUCUGAGC